AUCUGGCGUCUUCGACGUCCGAGUUGUAAUUUGAAGAAGGCGACUUUGUAGCUGGUCCUUGUCUAUGUUCCUUGGAACAGGACGUCAUAGAGGGUGAGAAUCCCGUGUGGCGAGGAUCCCAGUUAUUUGUAAAGUGCUUUCGACGAGUCGAGUUGUUUGGGAAUGCAGCUCUAAGUGGGUGGUAAAUUCCAUCUAAAGCUAAAUAUUGGCGAGAGACCGAUAGCGAACAAGUACAGUGAUGGAAAGAUGAAAAGAACUUUGAAAAGAGAGUGAAAAAGUACGUGAAAUUGUUGAAAGGGAAGGGCAUUUGAUCAGACAUGGCGUUUGCUUCGGCUUUCGCUGGGCCAGCAUCAGUUUUAGCGGUUGGAUAAAUCCUCGGGAAUGUGGCUCUGCUUCGGUAGAGUGUUAUAGCCCGUGGGAAUACAGCCAGCUGGGACUGAGGAUUGCGACUUUUGUCAAGGAUGCUGGCGUAAUGGUUAAAUGCCGCCCGUC
rnacentral:rRNA from 1 species